GUUUUGUACUUCUACAAGCACAAAGCAGUGGGAUCAACACACCAUGAACUGAAGUCUUGGAAACAAUGAAACCGCUCACCCUCUUCAGAUGUCUCCCCUCCUUCGCCCAAAUAUACCGGACAAAGUGAAGCAUAUUAAACAAAUGGUACUGAGACAACUGGAUAUCUGUAUGGAGAAGGAGGAAACUAGAUCUCAUUUUCACCCUGCACAAAAAUCAACUCCAAAUACAUCAGGGAGUCUCAAUGCAACACUUGAAAUUCUGGAGCUGCUGGAGGAAAGAAGGACAGAAGAGUACACAGGAUACAGGCCGGCCAGGAGACAGAAACAUCCCUAAGACCAGGAAAUCCUAGGACCUUAACAAGUGGAGCCCGUUUCAGGCCCAGCCAAUCAUGCUAGCUGCUUCUUGUGUUCUUUGGCUAACUUUGUGUAACUGUGUCCUUUGAAACUCAGCGUGCCACCUCCUGAGACAUUUGCUCACCUCCAAGCCAAGAAAUAUGUCCUCUUUAGGUCUUACAGCACCAAGACAACACCGUAAAAAGACAGGACCUGUGGACAAGUCUCAUUAUUGCCAGAAGAUCUGUGUGUCAGUCCCUGCCUGUAAAGACUGUUUGCCUGGGAGCAGCUGAAGAUUCAAAUGUGUUCACAGCCCGGAGCACCCUGUGCCAACCCUCUCGUCCUUCUAGGAAAGAGAAACAUUUGGGUUUUUCAACAUUAAUGCAUGGUGCUUACUGUACAAUCCUAAAUCCUGAGUUUAUAAUCUCUGACUUUAACCAUGAUGCCCUGAAUAAAGUCAAAAGCUGCAG